AUACACAUAUUUCCACAGGUUAUAAACUGAAAAUGACGUCAGCGUUUUCUAAACGUUCUAUCUAUUUCACAAGUAGAGGGGCCCUCUAGCCUUCGCGUUAUCAGCACGAAGUCAAGGCCAGUCAGUAUAAAUCGACAUUCUAGACAGUCUGGAGAUGGGCCGUUCCCGCCACCUGGAGAUUUGUACACUGAAUGAACUAAGGAACAGACCUUCACUGUCACUAAACUCCUGACUACAUUAUAUACAAUUGGGAAUGGGAGCAAGAGAGAAAAUUCACAUGUACAGUACAUUAUAGCAUUUGGACUAGUCAGUUCUGAUUGGAAUGUGUACAUAAUUAGUCAUUUCAACCAUAAUUUCCUCUAACAAGAUUACAGCAUUAUAUCAGGCUAAUCAAGGUGCAGAUUACAGCAUUAUAUCAGGCUAAUCAAGGUGUAGAUUACAGCAUUAUAUCAGGCUAAUGGGGGUGUAGAUUACAGCAUUAUAUCAGGCUAAUCAAGGUGUAGAUUACAGCACUAUAUCAGGCUAAUAAAGGUGUAGAUUACAGCAUUAUAUCAGGCUAAUCAGGGUGUAGAUUACAGCAUUAUAUCAGGCUAAUCAAGGUGUAGAUUACAGCAUUAUAUCAGGCUAAUCAAGGUGCCGAUUACAGCAUUAUAUCAGGCUAAUCAAGGUGUAGAUUACAGCAUUAUAUCAGGCUAAUCAAGGUGUAGAUUACAGCAUUAUAUCAGGCUAAUCAAGGUGUAGAUUACAGCAUUAUAUCAGGCUAAUCAAGGUGUAGAUUACAGCAUUAUAUCAGGCUAAUCAAGGUGUAGAUUACAGCAUUAUAUCAGGCUAAUCAAGGUGUAGAUUACAGCAUUAUAUCA
ensembl:lncRNA